AUUGAACGCUGGCGGCAGGCCUAACACAUGCACGUCGAACGAGUGGCGGACGGGUGAGUAAUGUCUGGGAAACUGCCUGAUGGAGGGGGGAAACUACUGGAAACGGUAGCUAAUACCGCAUCCCAUCGGAUGUGCCCAGCUGGGAUUAGCUAGUAGGUGGGGUAAAGGCUUACCUAGGCGGCGAUCCCUAGCUGGUCUGAGAGGAUGACCAGACAGACUGGAACUGAGUCACGGUGCAGACGCCUACGGAAGUCAGCAGUGGGGAAUAUUGCACAAUGGGCGCAAGCCUGAUGCAGCCAUGGCGCGUGUAUGAAGAAGGCCUUCGGGUUGUAAAGUACUUUCAGCGGGGAGGCGUUACCCGCAGAAGAAGCACCGGCUAACGCCGUGCCAGCAGCCGCGGUAAUAC
rnacentral:rRNA from 1 species